rnacentral:rRNA from 1 species
GAUGAACGCUAGCGGCAGGCUUAACACAUGCAAGUCGAGGGGUAGGGAAAGCUUGCUUUUCUGAGACCGGCGCACGGGUGCGUAACGCGUAUGCAAUCUACCUUUCACAAAGGGAUAGCCCAGAGAAAUUUGGAUUAAUACCUUAUAGUAAUACAUUUUGGCAUCAAGAAGUAUUUAAAGAUUUAUCGGUGAAAGAUGAGCAUGCGUCCCAUUAGCUAGUUGGUAUGGUAACGGCAUACCAAGGCUACGAUGGGUAGGGGUCCUGAGAGGGAGAUCCCCCACACUGGUACUGAGACACGGACCAGACUCCUACGGGAGGCAGCAGUGAGGAAUAUUGGACAAUGGGCGCAAGCCUGAUCCAGCCAUGCCGCGUGCAGGAUGACGGUCCUAUGGAUUGUAAACUGCUUUUAUACAGGAAGAAACAACGCUACGUGUAGCGUCUUGACGGUACUGUAAGAAUAAGGAUCGGCUAACUCCGUGCCAGCAGCCGCGGUAAUACGGAGGAUCCAAGCGUUAUCCGGAAUCAUUGGGUUUAAAGG